rnacentral:rRNA from 1 species
GAAUCACUGGGCGUAAAGGGCGCGUAGGCGGAUUAUCAAGUCUCUUGUGAAAUCUAAUGGCUUAACCAUUAAACUGCUUGGGAAACUGAUAGUCUAGAGUGAGGGAGAGGCAGAUGGAAUUGGUGGUGUAGGGGUAAAAUCCGUAGAUAUCACCAAGAAUACCCAUUGCGAAGGCGAUCUGCUGGAACUCAACUGACGCUAAGGCGCGAAAGCGUGGGGAGCAAACAGGAUUAGAUACCCUGGUAGUCCACGCCCUAAACGAUGUACACUAGUUGUUGGGGUGCUAGUCAUCUCAGUAAUGCAGCUAACGCAUUAAGUGUACCGCCUGGGGAGUACGGUCGCAAGAUUAAAACUCAAAGGAAUAGACGGGGACCCGCACAAGCGGUGGAGCAUGUGGUUUAAUUCGAAGAUACGCGAAGAACCUUACCUGGGCUUGAUAUCCUAAGAACCUUUUAGAGAUAAGAGGGUGCUAGCUUGCUAGAACUUAGAGACAGGUGCUGCACGGCUGUCGUCAGCUCGUGUCGUGAGAUGUUGGGUUAAGUCCCGCAACGAGCGCAACCCACGUAUUUAGUUGCUAACGGUUCGGCCGAGCACUCUAAAUAGACUGCCUUCGUAAGGAGGAGGAAGGUGUGGACGACGUCAAGUCAUCAUGGCCCUUAUGCCCAGGGCGACACACGUGCUACAAUGGCAUAUACAAUGAGACGCAAUACCGCGAGGUGGAGCAAAUCUAUAAAAUAUGUCCCAGUUCGGAUUGUUCUCUGCAACUCGAGAGCAUGAAGCCGGAAUCGCUAGUAAUCGUAGAUCAGCCAUGCUACGGUGAAUACGUUCCCGGGUCUUGUACUCACCGCCCGUCACACCAUGGGAGUUGAUUUCACUCGAAGCCG